rnacentral:rRNA from 1 species
AUUGAACGCUGGCGGAAUGCUUUACACAUGCAAGUCGAACGGCAGCACGGGAGCUUGCUCCUGGUGGCGAGUGGCGAACGGGUGAGUAAUGCGUCGGAACGUACCGAGUAAUGGGGGAUAACGCACCGAAAGGUGUGCUAAUACCGCAUACGCCCUGAGGGGGAAAGUGGGGGAUCGCAAGACCUCACGUUAUUCGAGCGGCCGACGUCUGAUUAGCUAGUUGGUGGGGUAAAGGCCUACCAAGGCGACGAUCAGUAGCGGGUCUGCGAGGAUGAUCCGCCACACUGGAACUGAGGCACGGUCCAGGCUCAUACGGGAGACAGCAGUGGGGAAUUUUGGACAUUGGGGGCAACCCUGAUCCAGCCAUUCCGCGUGAGUGAAGAAGGCCUUCGGGUUGUAAAGCUCUUUCAGCAGGAACGAAACGGUACGCACUAACAUCGUGUGCUAAUGACGGUACCUGCAGAAGAAGCACCGGCUAACUACGUGCCAGCAGCCGCAGUAACAC